rnacentral:lncRNA from 1 species
UGCCAAUGAAAGAUCUUCCUGUCAGAGAGGGCUUAAGGAUCUUCCUGUCAGAGGAGUACAUUAUUUUGUUUGACAGGAGUAUUUCAAGAUCAGUACAUUAUUUUGUUUGACAGGAGGGCUUAAGGACCUGCAGUAUCAUGGUGAUUUCAUAUCAAAAUCGAGGAGUACUCCUGUUCAUUUGGAGAACUCAAACAGCAAUUGAUAUGCAUCAAAAUUGGGAUCAACAGUAGCAUGGGGCCUUAUCAUUCUGGUUUUUGGAUGACUUAGUUAAUCAAAUUCCUCAAUUGAGGAACACCUGAACUUGUCAUUCCGGUCUUGGGAUCAACAGUAGCAUAUGGACUUAUCAUUCUGGCUUUUGGAUGAUUUAGUUAAUCAAAUUGACAUCAAUUGACCUGUUUUUUGGAUCAAUUGCAGAUUCUCUUGAUUGGAGUGGAGAGGAGCAGAGACGAGAGGAGCAGCAGAAGUGGACAGCGCAACGGCUGACUUUGAGCUCUUGAUUGGAGUGGGGGAGGCGGCCGACGAAGGAUCUGUGGCCAGCAGCGAAGGAUCCGAAGUUGUGGCGGAGCAGGCAGCCGGCGGGAAGGGCGGCCGGCGAGGGAGCUGCGGACCUUGGCGUGGAAGGGCGGCCGAUGAGGGAGCUGCGGACCGCGGCGGGGAAGGACGCCGGAUGAGCCCGGCGAAAGGGAGCAGCGACGGCGGAGAAGCCUGGCGUAGGGGAGGAGCGACGGAGGAAGACGCCUCCCGAUGGAUUUCAAAUCGGGGGUAGUAUUGUACUUUCACACUAUUUCACCUGGUCGGAGUGAUGCCCCCAACGACAAUUAUUUCGGAACGGAGGGAGUAAUACAAAGGAUGUUGUUCUCCUAGAAAUAGCACGCCAAGUUAGCACUACAUAACAACCACUACUAUUUGCUGAUCAACCAGAAUAUACACGGAUGGAAAACUA